rnacentral:lncRNA from 1 species
CCCUCUUCUACAUAUCAACAUCUUUUCACCAAGCUUUUGAGAUGACAAAACACAAACAAGGAAACAAUUAAAAAGAGAUUAAGAGAGUACUUUAUUUGAUUCUAUGUUAUUCUAGCCUACUGAAUUGCCAGGUCAUUAUGGUAGGAGGGAUGUCCACCCAAAAAUGACUUGCAUUUCCCCCUCCAAUCUAUAAGAAGAAAAAACAACUCAUCUAAGUAAAAAUUAUUCUUCUACACAACUUUCUAUAUUCCAUAGCCAACUAUUUCAAGAUGAGCAAGAAUAGUAAUCCAAUAAUUCAUACAAGGAGCUACACAUGAAGAUGAAUUAAAAUUCAACUCUAUAUAAAACAGACGCAUGCUAAGAAAAAUAUAGCAGCACCAGGUGAAAUAGCAUAACUAAUCCUCUAACAGUAGAGGUAGAGCCAAAGAUACUGGCACAAUUUUACAAUGCUGAAAUCAGUUCAAGAUGAGGACAUGACUAGCUCAAGCGUGGAUGGAAAUCACAGAGGUCAAACGUGGGCAGACCACUUAAAGUUACUGUUGGACCAGUUGGUCACAAGCUAAACUGUUCAAAGGACUUGAUGGGUUAAUUCAAAAAGUUUUGGACGGAGAAUGAAUCGAAGACGAGUACUAUGGAAGUUGAUUCAAAUUUCAUUAGCUUGGUGCGAGUAAUUAGUUCAAGCCAAGAAUCAAGUUCGGGAUUUCAAAACAAAGGAAGACAAAAUUCGUCCAAAAACAGAAUGUAUAGCGCAAGCGCAACUAGGGGUGUUCAUCCGGUAAAAACCGGCCCGAACCGGACCGGUACCGAACCGAAACCGAAAUAGGCCAAAUAUUGAUACCGAUACCGGAACCGGUUGGACCGGUAUACCGAACCGGCGGUACCGGUUCGGUACCGGUUUUUACCGAAAAUUAAUGUAAUUAAUAUAAUUAUUAUUAUUAUCGCUUUAUUAUUAUUAUUAUUUUAUUAUUAUUAUUAUUUUUAUUAAUAUUAUUAUUAUAAUCAUUAUUUUAUUAUUAUUAUUUUAAUAAAUUAUUAAUAAUAAUAAAAAUUUAAAAACCGGUAUAUACCGGUCCGGUUCGGUUUUUACCAAACUAUAAAAACGCCGAACCGAAACCGGUACCGAAAAAACCGGUAUAUACUGGAUUUUUUGUACCGAACCGGUUCUUUUUUAUACCGAACCGACCGGUUCGGUCCGGUUCGAAAAACCGAAAAUACCGAAUCAAAUGAACACCCCUAAGCGCAACUGCGUUACAAAGCAGCGCAACACCGCUAACCUGCAAUGCAGCUGCGCUCCAAGAUAGCACAGUAGCGCUCCAAUCCGGCACAGUAGCGCUCCACUUUCUGACUUUCGGCGUCCCAAGCACGUUUCUGGAAGAUUUGGACACGAAAUUUGCACGGGAUUUUAGUAGUUUUUCCAAUUCUAAUGUUAUUAUGAUGUUUUUAGCUAGGAUUUUCAUUCUAAAUUGACGUCUUAUUUCCUUAUGUAAUUAGGGUUACUUUUGAUUAGUAUAAAUAAGGAUAAGGAUUUGGCUUAUGUAAUUACAUACAAUUCAUAUUAUUAAUAUACUUGUUUGAUUAUUCUCUUAUUUUGGUUCUUUGAAGAACUUCCAAGUUAUUCUUAGUUUUUCUUUGAGAUUCAAUUUUGACUUAUCAUACAACAAUUCAUAGUUGUGUGUGACAUCUUCUACCGCAUCAAUCGUCGAUUGUACCAAGGUUCCUACGUACAUAUAAGUAACGGGUCAAGGUGUCGUUAGUGUCCAUUCAACGCAGAUUUCCUUACAUUAUUGAUUGCGCCAAAGUUCUCGUCUCAAUACAGGCGAAGGGUUGUUGAGGUGUCAAGCGUGUUCCACCGUAUAACUUUGCAAACAUACUAUGGAGUCCAUCAUUUGGUAUCAAAGCUAAGUCUUCUAGCGAGUUAUCUAUCUUUUAGUUUUCUUGUUGGAUUUAAAAAAAAGUAUAUUUUUUUUCAAUUUAUUGCAACUGCUUGCUAACAAAUUCGGAAACUAUAAUUUGAGCACUCAAUCAUCAAUUCCAAACUAGCAAAGUCUUAAAUUUUCGCAAGCCUAACAAGCUUCCCCGUCCGUGAGUCUCGAGGUUAUUGGAAGUUCAUUCAGAGAAUCAAUCUGUCAAUUACAAUUGGCAACCCGUGAACCUUGUUGGUUACGAUAGUUAUACCUUCUAUAUUUUGUUCUUGAUAAGUUAUAGUUGAAUUGAAUAGUAAAACUGUGAUAUUGUUUGGUGAAUUCAAAAAGAAGCUAUAAGAGAGAAUAUUUGAGUGGUAAAAGGCAAAAGUUAUGAAAUCAAUCGAGGAAAAUUAUUUUCUACUAACCCUUGUUUUGCAGCAAAAUAUGUCUAACUCAAAGGAUAAAGGUACUUUUGAAGAAUCCCCAACGAAUUUUGAUUCGAAGUUUGUGAUGGAGGCCAUGAUGAAGGAAUUUUCCAGGCAAUUGGGCAUAACAAUGGAGCAGGUGCAUGAGCGCGUCUUGACCAGAUAAGCGUCACCCGAGGUGAAUCAUCUCAAAACCCUCAUGUUACGCGUCAAAAAGGAGAACCGUGAAUCUGACUUCAUUCAUCAGAGACAUGGAGCAAGGGAUAUAGGCGGACGAAAUCGAGAAGACAACAACUUAGAUAACAUCAAAAUGAAAAUUCAAGCUUUCCAAGGAAGGAGUGAUCCUGAGGCAUACUGCGAGAAGAAGAUAGAGUGGAUGUUUGACUGUCACAACUACUUCUGCCUAUGCCGUCACAUGGUGGGAUCAGCUGAUCAGAAGAUGUGGAGAGCCUCCAAUUGAAACUUGGGAGCAGAUGAAAAUCGUGAUGAAGAAGCGAUUCGUGCCAAGCCACUACCAUCGAGACCUAUUUCGGAGUUUGUAAAAUCUUAAGCAAGGAAGUAAGAGCGUAGAGGACUACUUCAUGGAGAUGGAGAUGCUGAUGACUAGAGCCAACAUAGUGGAGGACCGAGAGGCAACAAUGGCUCGAUUUUCAGCAGACUUAAAUUGGGAGAUUACGAAUUUGGUGGAAAGGAAAAAUUAUGUGGAAUUGGAAGACAUUGUACACAUGACCAUCAAGAUAGAGAAGCAACUAAAGAAUAGAGGUCGCCAACGAUCAAUUUCCACUUCGAGCUCAUUUUGGAAGCCCAAUGUUGUGAAGCGAGAUGAGAAGCCAGCCGUGAACAAACCUAAAGUAGAGCCAAAACCGGAUACAACUAAUCGUGGAAAUCAAGGUAAAACUAAACCUUCAUUUAGUCGUAAUCAUGAUAUUAGAUGCUUUAAAUGCCAAGGCAGGGGACAUUUCAAAUCAAUGUCCACAUUAACGGACUAUGUUUUUACUUGACAAUGGCGAGUUGGAGAUCGAGGAUGAUCUUAGUGAUGUUGAUUCUAAGCCUUUGAAGGAGGUAGAUGAGAGGGAAAUCGCUAUCCAUAUUGAAGUGUUGGUUACUAGGAGAGUUCUUAGCGCGCAAGUGAAAGAAGAAAGCAUAGAGCAACGAGAAAAUCUCUUUCACACUAAGUGCCUUGUUCAUGGGAAGAUUUGUUGUGUGGUGAUUGAUGGUGGAUGUUGUACCAAUGUGGCUACUACGACGGUGGAGAAGUUAGGGCUGCCAACAACCAAGCAUCCUCAGCCGUAUAGAUUGCAAUGGCUCAAGGACAGUGGUGAUGUAAAAGUGACUAAGCGUGUAUUAGUUUCAUUUACUAUUGGUAGAUAUGUUGACGAAGUAUUGUGCGAUGUGGUUCCAAUGUAGGCAGACCAUUUGUUACUUAGAAGGUCAUGGCAGUUUGAUAGACGCGUGAAGCAGCAUGAUGUCUUUAUGAAUGAAUAUUCAUUUAUGCACAAUCAACAGAAAGUCACUCUGUCUUAUGACAUAGAAACAAGUUCAUGAAUAUCAAUUGCAUUUACAAAAGGACUUUGUACAAAAGAGAGUGAAAAAAAGAAAAAUAAAGACGAAAAAGAUGAGGGAAAAAAAAGAGAAAAAUAAAGGGAAAAAAUAGAAGAGAGAAAAACAAAUAUCUUUGCAAAAAAAAGUGAUUUGAGGAAAGCUUCGAUUUCUAAACAGCCGAUGAUUAUACUUAUGUACCAUAAUAACUCUUCUUUGCCUAGUGUUAUUACAUCUCUUUUGCAGGAUUAUGCCGAUAUAUUUUCCGAGGAGCUUUCACAAGGUUUACCACCUAUUAGGGGAAUAAAACAUCAAAUUGACUUCGUACCCGGUGUUACCAUUCCUAAUCGGCCACCUCAUCGGAGCAAUCUCGAGGAAACAAAGGAGUUGCAAAAGCAAGUUUGUGAACUAAGGGGUUCGUGAAAGAGAACACGAGUCCGUGUGCAGUUUCGGUGAUUUUAGUGCCUAAGAAGGAUGGCAAAUGACGCAUGUGCAUUGAUUGUUGAGCGGUAAAUAAUAUUACGGUAAAGUAUCAAAAUCCUAUUAUUCGCUUAUAUGAUAUGUUAGAUGAAUUGCAUGGGCCUUGCGUGUUUUCAAAAAUUAAUUUAAAAAGUGGUUAUCAUAAAAUUAGAAUGAAAGAAGGGGAUGAAUGGAAAAUUACUUUUAAAACAAAAUAUGGGUUAUAUGAGUUGUUAGUGUUACCUUUUGGUUUAACUAAUGCUCCUAGUACUUUCAUGUGAGUAAUGAACCAUGUUUUGUGUCCGUUCAUUAGUAAGUUUGUUGUAGUUUAUUUUGAUGAUAUCUUGAUUUAUAGCAAAAACUUGGGUGAACAUGCUUUGCAUCUGAAAUCUGUUUUAGAUGUACUUAGGAAAGAGAAGUUAUUUGCUAACAUGGAUAAGUGCACGUUUUGUACGGAUAGAAUUGUGUUCCUUGGUUUUGUUGUUAGUUCAUGGGGAGUACAAGUGGGUGAAAAUAAGAUACGUGCGAUCCAAGAAUGGUCGAGUCCUAACUCCUACGAAUGUGAGCCAAAUUCGUAGUUUUCAUGCACUCGAGUUUUUACCGAUGUUUCGUGAGGAAUUUCAGCAACAUCACAGCACCACUUACGGAAGUCAUCAAAAAGAGCGUGGGGUUUAAAUGGGGAGAUGGAUAAGAGAAGGCGUUUCAGUUGAUUAAUAAUAAAUUAACUAAUACUCAUUUACUUGUUUUGCCUAACUUUUCUAAAACUUUUGAAAUUGAGUGUGAUGUUCCAGGUUUGGGAAUUGGAGUUGUGUUGAUGUAAGAAGGAAAACGAGUGGCGUACUUUAGCGAGAAGUUGAGUGGAGCAGCUUUAAGCUAUCCUACUUAUGACAAGUAUGACUGAUUAUUCGGUUAAAACCGAACCAAAUAGGCUAUUCGAUUAUAACUAAAAAUCGAAAUUUGAACAAUUUUGGUAUCCGAACAAAUAAUUGGAUUACCCAAUAACCGAAUUACCGAAUUUACUAUUCGGUUGUUCAGAUAAUAAUUGGAACUAAGAAAUAUAUUUCUGAUUUCUCAAACAAAACAAAACCCAUUACAAAUACUGCUUCAAAUGGAGGAAAAAACUUGAAAUCAGAAGCAAAGAAAUGCAUUAGCAAAAUAUCAUAUGUAUGUUUUAUAAUAUACAUAUGUUUUAUACUCCACGUAAAAAAUCCUUUUGCAAGUCAGUGAACAAUCAGAACAAUAAAUAUUCAAGCUUAUUAGUUGUGUAAACAAGUAAGCAACCAAACAGCCAAACAGGGGAGAGAAAUAUAACUAGAAAUGGGUGCAUUUGGGUCUAAUCCAAUUCUUUUGACCCCUUUGCAAGAAUACAAGCCUCUGCAGAGGUGCGAACCAGAGCCUGUUACAUAAGCCUACAUUUUUAUCAAACACCAGAGACGUGGAGCAGCCAAGUAAAGUAGAUACUUCGAAGGCUCGGAGUCGAUAAAUACCUUCGUAGGCUCGGAGAUGAGGUUUCAUCAAGACUUUAGUCUGCCAUUUAGAGCCCGAGCGGAGUCGCGAUUCUUGCAAUUUGGGGACUGGGGUUAGGGGCUUAGGGCAGAGAAAUCGAGAUCAAGAUGAGAGACUGAUGAGUAAAUACUAAAUAGUGAUCGAGAUCUGAGAGAUUAAAGAUGAGAGAUCGAGAGAUUAAAGAUGAGAGACUGAUGAGUUAUGACAGUGAUGACUGAUGAAUCGAGAUCUCAUCUGAGGACUGAGAUAAGAUAAGAGAUGGAGUGAAGACUGAAGAGUUGUGUUUUAACUUUAAGCCUUUUUUAAAGAUCUUAUUUGGUUAGCCGAAUAACACAAAAUUGAAGCCAAAACUCGAACCCGUAAAUCGAAAAAAAUUCGGAUAUAACCGAAUUGUUAAAAAUACCCGAAUUAGCAAAAAAAAAGGGUUAAAUUAUUUUGGUUCGAUUCGGUUAUUCGGUUAUAUCCGUUUUUUGCUCAGUCCUAAUGACAAGGAGAUGUACGCAUUAGUUAGAGCGUUAGAAACAUGGUGGCACUACCUAUGGCCUAAGUAGUUCGUGAUUCAUAUGGAUCAUGAAUCUUUGAAGUACUUCAAAGAUCAACAAAAGUUGAAUAAAAGACGUGCACGAUAGAUGGAGUUUAUCGAGACAUUCUCAUAUGUCAUUCGAUACAAGCAAGGUAAAGAGAACAUCGUCGCAGAUGCUUUUUCGUGAAGUUAUGUGUUGUUAUCAACUCUUGAUACGAGAUUACUUGGUUUUGAACAACUUAAAGAAUUAUAUGCUUUAGACCAUGAUUUUCGUGAGUUUAAAUCUUGUGAAAAGAAUGCAGUAUGUAAGUAAGCAUGAUAGAUUUUUAUUUUGAGAAAAUAAAUUGUGCAUACCUGCGUGAGUUGUUAAUUAGAGAAUCACAUGGGAGUGGUUUAAUGGAUCAUUUUGGCGUGGAUAAAACAUUCGCAGUGUUGCGAUAACAAUUCUAUUGGCCACACAGGAAACGAGAUGUAGAAAGAAUGUGAUAGAUGCAUUAACUGUCGUCAAGCUAGAUCCCAUGUGCAACCCAUGGAUUGUAUACACCAUUACCUAUACCUAGUGAACCUUGGAUUGAUAUUUCUAUGGAUUUUGUGAUAUGAUUACCUAGGUCUAAGCGUGGUCAUGAUUCGAUAUGUGUAGUUGUAGAUAGAUUUUCAAAGAUGACACAUUUUAUUCCAUGUCACAAAACUGAUAAUACUUCCCAUCUUGCUGAUUUAUUCUUUAAGAAAAUUGUGUGUUUGCAUGGUAUAUUAAGCUCUUAAGUUACUUUUGGAAGACUUUGUGGUGUAAAUUGGGUACUAAAUUGUUAUUUUCAACUACUUGUCAUCUACAAACUGAUGGUCAAACCGAAGUCGUAAAUAGAACUUUACUUGCUUUGUUGAGGGCUAUCAUUAAAAAGAAUAUCAAGCAUUGGGAGAAAUGUUUACCACAUGUUAAGUUUGCUUCUAAUCGAUCUAUUAAUUCUGCUACUAACUUUUCUCCAUUUGAGGUUGUGUAUGGUUUUAAUCCUUUAACCCCAUUGGAUUUAUCACAUGUAAUGUCUGAAUAUACUAACAUAGAUGGAAAGAAAAAAACUGAUUUUGUUAAGAAGAUACAUGAGAAAGCGAGACUCAACAUCGAGAGACGGACGGAACAGUAUGUCAAGCUCAAACGCGUUCAAAAUUGUUGCCAAGGGGAGAUGAUCCUUUCCAAAUUCAUGAGCACAUCAAUGACAAUGCCUACAAAUUGGAUUUACCUGUUGAGUAUAAUGUUAGUGUCACAUUUAACAUUACUGAUUUAAGUUCGUUUGAUGUAGGUGAUGAUUUGAAGGCAAAUCUUUUUCAAAAGGAUAGAAAUGAUGAGGACAUGACUAGCUCAAACGUGGAUGGAAAUAGGUCAAACCUGAGCAGAUCCACUUAAAGUUCCUGUUGGACCAGUUACGAGGUCACGAGCUAAACGAUUCAAAGAAGAACUUAAUGGGUUAAUUUAAGAAGUUUGGACGGAGAAUGAAUCGAAGACGAGUACUAUGGAAGUUGAUUCAAAGUUCAUUAAUUUGGUGUGAGUAAUUAGUUCAAGCCAAGAAUUAAGUUUAGGAUUUCAAAACAAAGAAGGAAGACAAAAUUCGUACAAAAACAAAAUGUAUAGUGCAGCUGCGUUACAAAGCGGCCUGUGCUCCAAGAUAGCGCAACAACGCUCCCCUAGCGCAGCUACGCUCCAAUCCGGCGUAGCAACGCUCCAUUUUCUGACUUUCAGCGUCCCAAACGCUUUUCUAGAAGAUUUGAAUGCGGAUUUGUGAGAUUUUGGUAGUUUUUCCAAUUCUAAUGUAAUUAUGACUUUUUAGCUAGGAUUUACAUUCCAAAUUGACUUAUUAUUUCCUUAUGUAAUUAUGGUUACUUUUGAUUAGUAUAAAUAAGGAUUUGGCUGAUGUAAUUACAUACAAUUCAGAUUAUCAAUAUAUUUGUGAGAUUAAUUUUUCUUUGGUUCUUUGAAGAAAUUCUAUGUUAUUCUUAGUUUUUCUUUGAAAUUCAAUUUUGACUUAUCAUACAACAAUUUAUAGUUGUGUGUGACGUCUUCCAUCGCAUCAAUCGUCGAUUGUACCAAAGUUUUUGCUUACAUAUAAGCAACGGGUCAAGGUAUCGUUGGUACCAAUUCAACGCAGAUUUCCUUGCACUAUCGAUUGUACUAAGGUAUAGGCGAAGGGCUGAGGUGUCGAGCGUGUUCCACUGUAUAACUUUGUUAGAAACAAUCCAACGCAAACAUGUCGUGGAGUCCAUCAGUUCAUCCCAGAGAACUUGAAAGAUGCACAUUAAGAAUCUCUGACCAAGUUAGAGAUUACAAAUUAGAAGCAACUUGUGUGAACUUUCAUUCAAAAACACAAUCCAAACUCAAACUACACCGAGUGUUAUCAAUUUUGUGAAUCAAAACCAAAUGAUGAAGAACUUCGCAUGCUAUUCCAAGAACUAGUGCACCUCUCCACCUUAUUGUCAUAACCUAUUCCAGCCAAGGACAUCUUAUCAAUCUACAACCAACCAGUCUAUAAAAUUUCUUACUCUUCUCUUUCGGCUAAAUAUGCAUGCUUGCUAUUCUUUAAAGGUUCUGACAUAUGGAACUGAUCUACAUUAAAUACUGUUUCCUUCACAUCAAAUUUACGUGGUGGUGUUCAUUCUCCUGGCUGGUCGGUUCAUGGUUAGUUUUACAAUAAUCCUAAGACCUCGUGAAAUUUAGGCACAGGCCCUUCCCUGUCCACAUUCACGGACAAUCACCAAGCAACUUCAAUUAUUGGGGAAAAAAAACAAACCACCAGAAGAAGUCUAUCAUGCUCAGUUAUUCAGGUAAAAGUAACAUUUAUCAUAUAAUUUUGUGUCUUGAUUCCUGACCUUUUUUUUGGGUGGGGGAAGAAUGGGAGGAUAAUCUAGAUGGAGAAUUAAACUCAAUAAAUGAGUGCCUACACUAUUGUUCUCUCAAUCAGUAUCAUCUGAUCAAAUGAAACUGUAAAACCAUUCUCAUCAUCAUCUCUAUAAGGUAUUAGUUCCACAGGACCUUGGUAACUACUUUUGUUAAAAAAAACAAUCAUGUGUUAAAAAAAUAAAUCAAAAGAAGAAAAAUUGAACUAUUGACGUUGAGAUUUAUAUGGUUUACUUGAAACAAUCCGAUCUCCCUAAAAAGCUUGUGUUAGAAAAGGCAAAAGUGGAAAGAAAAGGAAAAACAGAAAGAAAGGAGUUCAUAAUGCUAGUUUUUGUGAUUGAGGCACAACAACAAUACCCUUGAGCAGUGCUAACAAUAAGCAUCUGACAAUACAUUUUCCAUUAAAUGCUCUACAUACUUCAUAAGUUGAAGGGCAAUAAACUGACAAAUAAAUAUUUCCAGCACCAUAGUAAUACAAAGGUUGUGUAAAAUACAACUAUAAUCAACCUCAAGGUUUACACUGUCACACAUACUUUCCCAAUCAACAAACUAAAAACUUGGCAAUUUACUCAUCCAAAACAGCCCCCAUCCUAAAAUACCCCAUGAAACUCCAAUAAUGAAUUUAUCUUCUAAGAGAAUGUAACACAAGAAUUCUACAACCUCCUAAUCCCCAAAUAAUAUUCUUCCUUUUUUCCAAUACAUUCAUUCAAUUGAAAAAGCAAUAUAUAAAAAUUUUAAAACAAAUAAAAACCAGAACAGGUGAUAAUGUGAAUGAAUCAUGAUGCUAACAAUUAUUAAUGCUUAUGGUCACAAACACAGCACUAAAAAUUAACAUCAGAGCAAGAUUAAACUUCAAAUUGAUACAUAUAUACAAACAUAACAUGUAGUAAAUAAACAAUAUUUGCGUAUUGAAUUUACUCCUUUCUUAGUUUCAGAAGGGGAUUGAGGGCUAGAUUUUAGGUACCGGAGAAGAGAGCAGACCGGUAAGUAAUAGUUGUUGCUCGAUAAAGCGUCCUUUCAGGUAGUUCUCCAGUAUCUCCAUGACGGAGACGAAUCGCUUCAUCUCGUCUAGCUGGCGGCUGAGCUCGGCCUCUCGUACCCUGGCUCGUUCUAGCCGUGCCUCGGUCUCGGCUAAACGGAGCCUCAGAUCCUCUACCGCCCGAGAAGGAGCUUUCGAUGGCAAUCGCUGUGAACCGUAACACAUGUUUUUAUGAGUCUGAGAAUUGAGGAGAGAGAAAGAUCGGUUGAAAUGGAGAAUUCGGAUUUGGGGGCUCACCUUCCCUUUUAUUCUUGCACUAGAAAGAAAGUACGAGGAAGGAGACAGAGUUUCAUAAAAACAAAAGGGAUAAUUAUAAAAUUCUAUUACAUAUUCUCAUAAAAGAAAAAAAAAAU